CCUCGGGGUGCAGCAGUGAGGAAUAUUGCACAAUGGGGGGAACCCUGAUGCAGCAACGCCGCGUGGAGGAUGACGCAUUUCGGUGUGUAAACUCCUUUUAUAUGUCAAGAAAAUGACGGUAGCAUAUGAAUAAGCACCGGCUAACUCCGUGCCAGCAGCCGCGGUAAUACGGAGGGUGCAAGCGUUACUCGGAAUCACUGGGCAUAAAGGACGCGUAGGCGGGUUGGAAAGUCAGGUGUGAAAUCCUACAGCUUAACUGUAGAACUGCACUUGAAACUUCUAAUCUAGAGUAUGGGAGGGGGAGAUGGAAUUAGUGGUGUAGGGGUAAAAUCCGUAGAUAUCACUAGGAAUACCUAAAGCGAAGGCGAUCUCCUGGAACAUUACUGACGCUAAGGCGUGAAAGCGUGGGGAGCAAACAGGAUUAGAUACCCGAGUAGUC
rnacentral:rRNA from 1 species